rnacentral:lncRNA from 1 species
CACUAUACAGUGAUUCCCAGCACCAUGCCUAUAUAUUGGGUUUUCCUUGGAUCAUACAACUUUUCAGGUAGAUUUGUUUUAGAUAGUAAUUAAGACCUAUGCUUCUGUUUUAAUCUCUUUGAAGGCCUUGAAAUAUAUAUUUUCUCCUAUGAAUUUUAUUUUUAAACAUUGAGCUGUCCUGCUAUUUAAAAUUAUGGUAAAUGUCAAAAAGUCUUUCAAUUUACUUGUUUUACUGAAAAUUUGACUGAUUUUUCCUCUGAAAACAAUUCUUUUCAUUAGCUGGUUGACAUUGUACAGAC